rnacentral:rRNA from 1 species
AUUGAACGCUGGCGGCAGGCUUAACACAUGCAAGUCGAACGAGUGGCGGACGGGUGAGUAAUGCUUGGGAAUCUAGCUUAUGGAGGGGGAUAACUACGGGAAACUGUAGCUAAUACCGCGUACCAUAGGAUGAGCCCAAGGGGGAUUAGGUAGUUGGUGAGGUAAAGGCUCAACAAGCCGACGAUCUCUCGCUGGUCUGAGGUGAUGACAAGCCCAACUGGGACUGAGACACGGCCGAGACUCCUACGGGAGGCAGCAGUGGGGAAUAUUGCGCAAUGGGGGCGACCUGACGCAGCCAUGCCGCGUGAAUGAAGAAGGCCUUCGGGUUGUAAAGUUCUUUCGGUAGCGAGGCGUUAGCUACAGAAGAAGCACCGGCUAACUCCGUGCCAGCAGCCGCGGUAAUUC